AUUGAACGCUGGCGGCAGGCCUAACACAUGCAAGUCGGGCGAGCCGCGGACGGGUGAGUAAUGUAUGGGGACUGCCUGAUGGCGGGGGAUAACUACUGGAAACGGUAGCUAAUACCGCAUACUAUGAUAUAACCCAUAUGGGAUUAGCUAGUAGGUGAGGUAACGGCUUACCUAGGCGACGAUCCCUAGCUGGUCUGAGAGGAAGACCAGCCACACUGGGACUGAGACACGGCCCAGACUCCUACGGAGGCAGCAGUGGGGAAUAGUGCACAAUGGGCGCAAGCCUGAUGCAGCCAUGCCGCGUGUAUGAAGAAGGCCUUCGGGUUGUAAAGUACUUUCAGUCGGGAGGCGUUACCGACAGAAGAAGCACCGGCUAACUCCGUGCCAGCAGCCGCGGUAAUAC
rnacentral:rRNA from 1 species